rnacentral:rRNA from 1 species
AUGUUGCAGUUGGCCCUCACAGCGCGCCGCCUGCUCCUCCUCGCCACCAAGCCCAAGCCCAAGCCCAAGCCAAGCAUCAGGGAUAGGGUUCUGCCCGCCGCCGCCGCCGCCGCCCACCUCUCCUCCUUCCGACGAGCAUCCACGGCCGCCGGCCCUCCGAUGGAGGCGCCGCCGGACUGGCCGUCCGCCCGGGUCCGGGAGGAGUUCAUCGGCUUCUUCGAGUCCAAGGCGCACACGCCAUGGCCGUCGAGCCCCGUGGUGCCCGUGGACGACCCCACGCUCCUCUUCGCCAACGCCGGGAUGAACCAGUUCAAGCCGGUCUUCCUGGGCACGGCCGCCCCGGACUCGCCGCUCGGCCGCCUGCGCCGCGCCUGCAACACCCAGAAGUGCAUCCGCGCCGGCGGCAAGCACAACGACCUCGACGACGUCGGCAAGGACACCUACCACCACACCUUCUUCGAGAUGCUCGGCAACUGGUCCUUCGGGGACUACUUCAAGGACGGGGCCAUCGCAUACGCAUGGCAAUUACUCACACAGGUCUACAAAUUGCCCACUGAUAGGAUUUAUGCAACAUACUUUGGUGGCGAUGACAAGGCUGGUCUCGCUCCUGAUACCGAGUCGAAAGACAUAUGGCUCAAGUAUCUACCGAAUGAAAGAGUUCUGCCUUUCGGUUGCAAGGAUAACUUUUGGGAGAUGGGCGACACAGGUCCUUGUGGACCAUGCACAGAGAUUCAUUUUGAUCGUAUUGGCAACCGUGACGCAGCUUCACUAGUGAAUAAUGAUGACCCUACAUGUAUUGAGAUAUGGAAUCUCGUGUUUAUUCAGUUCAACAGGGAAUCAGACGCUACUUUGAGAUCCUUGCCAGCAAAACACGUUGACACCGGAAUGGGCUUUGAGCGUUUAACGUCUAUCCUUCAGAAUAAAAUGAGCAAUUACGACACAGAUGUAUUCAUGCCAUUGUUUGAUGCCAUCCACAAGCUGGCAGGCGCUGGAAUUCAACCAUACUCUGGUAAAGUAGGAUCCGAUGAUGUUGGGAAAGUUGAUAUGGCAUAUAGGGUUGUUGCAGAUCACAUAAGAACCCUUUCUUUUGCUAUUGCUGAUGGUUCUCAACCUGGAAAUGAGGGAAGAGAGUAUGUUCUAAGGCGUAUACUUAGACGUGCUGUUCACUUUGGUCAUCAAAAAUUGAUGGCAAAGCAAGGAUUUUUUAGCUCCCUUGUAGAUGUUUUUGUCCGAGUGAUGGGUGAUGUGUUUCCUGAGCUGAAGGACAAUGAAAAGAAGAUUAAAGGUAUAAUUAAAGAAGAAGAGGCAAGCUUUGAGAACACUCUAGCGAAGGGAUAUGAGAGAUUUAAGAAAGCUGCAGAUGCUGUCAAGGAGAAUGGUGGGGCAGUACUUAGUGGCCAGGAUGCAUUUGUUCUGUGGGACACCUAUGGCUAUCCAAUUGAUUUGACUGAGGUCAUGGCAGUUGACUUUGGGCUAUCUGUUGACAUGGAGGGUUUUAAUGUUUCUAUGGAAGAAGCAAGGCAAAAGGCUAGGAAUGCUCGCUACAAGGCUGGCGGCAAAUCUAUUGUCCUGGAUGCUAAUGCUACAUCGCAGCUGCGCAAUCAGGGGCUUGCCAGCACAAAUGAUAGCCCGAAAUUCCAACACGAGGUACAUAGCAGUGUGGUGAAAGCUAUCUAUACUGGCUCAGAGUUCAUAGCCUCUGCAUCUGGUGAUGAAGAUUUUGGUCUUGUUUUGGAAAGCACAAGCUUCUAUGCAGAACAGGGUGGUCAGAUCUAUGACACUGGGAGUAUAGAGGGGCCAUCUGGAUCUUUUACUGUGAACAAUGUCCAAGUGUUUGCUGGCUAUGUCCUGCACAUUGGUUCAUUUCUGGAAGGGCCUGACUCCAAGGCAUUGUCUGUUGGCGAUGAAGUGAAAUGCAAAGUUGAUUACACACGGCGUACUCUCAUUGCUCCAAACCACACAUGUACCCAUAUGCUGAACUUUGCUCUAAGGGAAGUACUUGGUGACCAUAUUGACCAGAAAGGUUCCAUUGUUCUUCCAGAGAAGCUGAGAUUUGAUUUCUCCCAUGGGAAACCUGUUCAGCCUGAAGAUUUGAGAAAAAUCGAGGAUAUAGUGAAGAAGCAAAUAGAGGAUGAGCUGGAGGUAUCUGCACAAGAAAUAAAAUUAGCUGACGCAAAGCGCAUAAAUGGUCUGCGAGCUGUGUUUGGUGAAAUCUACCCUGAUCCUGUAAGAGUUGUAUCGAUUGGCCGCAAAGUGGAAGAUGUGCUUGCAAACCCUGAAAGCAAAGAGUGGUUAUCCAUAUCAACUGAGCUGUGUGGAGGUACACACAUUUCGAACACUAGAGAUGCUACAGCAUUUGCCCUCAUAUCUGAAGAGGGUAUCGCAAAAGGUGUUCGGAGGAUAACAGCCGUUACUGCUGAGUGCGCCUCACAGGCUAUGAAGUUGGCAUCAUCUAUCGAGACUGAUAUCAAUGAAGCAUCUAAACUGGACGGAGCGACAUUAGAAAAGAAAAUUGGGUCCAUCAAGAAUACACUGGAUGCAGCUGCUAUCCCAGCUGCAAGAAAAGCUGAUCUAAAAGGCAAUGUCUCAAAGUUGGAGGAUCAACUUAGGGAGGCGAAGAAGAAAAUGGGCAAAGAAAAUAUCCAAAAGGCUGUCAAGACUGCCAUAGAUGCCGCAGAAGCUGCUGUUUCUGAAGGAAAACCCUUCUGUGUUAUUCAUGCCGAUGUGGGUCUUGAUACCACUGCUGUCCGGGAAGCAGUUGUGAAAGCCAUGGACCGUUUCAAGGGUCUGCCGAUAAUGGUAUUCAGCACAGACGAGGCAUCAAACAAGGCUGUCAUUUAUGCGGGUGUACCUCCGGACGCACCCAAUGGGUUCAAGGUGUUGGAUUGGCUUACGCCUUCAAUCGCACCACUCAAGGGGAAAGGAGGCGGCGGCAAGAAUGGUCUUGCCCAGGGCCAGGGAAGUGAUGGUUCCCGGGUCAAGGAGGCCAUGGAGCUUGCUACCCAGAUAGCAUCAAUGAAGCUGGGCUGA